AUUUUAUGUUUAUAUAUGAUACGUUCAUUACACAAUGUUUUGUAAUGACCCGAAGGCCGACAGUUCACAGAGGUAUGUGGAUUUGAUAGGGCCACAAAGGGCCAAUCAUUAAUGAUCCUUCCGCAGGUUCACCUACGGAAA
rnacentral:misc_RNA from 1 species